rnacentral:lncRNA from 1 species
AUCUUGAGUUGACCCCAUCCCAUUCUUGUCUUGUGGUAUCUCCAUCCUGUGAUGCCUCAGCAGAAAGGCCCUAGCCAUGUGCCAGCACCUGGAUAUUAGACUUCUAAGCCUCAAGAGCUCAGAGAAAAUUGAAUUUCUUUAGAGAUUACCCAGUCUAUGACAAUCUGUCUAAAUAACACAAAACCAUAUGAAGGCACCUGUCCACAUGAGAACAAGAUCAGUCUGACAGAGGACCAGGGGAGGGGACACUGCCACAGAUUCCUGUACCACUGGCACAGCUGUCUCUCAAAUGCAUCCCAAUUGUAAGAGAUCUACUGUCUCAGAGCUGCCAUUACUUAGAACCCCAUGACCCCUGCCUGAGGGGCUCAGGUUUCCCUUUAGCAACAGGUGUGUGCAAAGCUGGCAGAUAGUUUAUGGCGUCUCAAUAUCACAGCUGCAGCUGCUAGUGUAUAAAUAAACUGGAGACUACUGGAGGCAUUGUGUUUUCUCAGACCCACAAAGUGAAAAUGUCCAUAAUGUUUAGCUUUUUACAAAAGAGUGCAAAUGGCUGCAAAGGACGUUAGUGACUUAAAUAAUACAUUUACAAAAGAAUAAUUUGGGAGACUAUGAGAGGAGGGAUUAACUAAUUUUACAACAUGCUACUAUAGAUUAAAUCCUAACAAUCAAUUUAAUUAUCCUUUCUUGAUCUUCUCAGCCCCGUCAACUUUGAAAGAUGGAACACCCAGAAAUAACAAUCAUUAAAAGGGAAGACAGGCUGUUAGCCUGGAAGUGUGCCAUUGCUCUAGAUGCUUGCAGGUAUCUGGACUGUAUCUAUCUCCUUCACUUGCCAAGAGAAGACUCCCGUAGGCUGGAAAUGCUGAACAGCUCACAGGCAUCAAUCAUCCAUUGAUCAAAGACAAAAUCAGCAGUUAGGUCCUCACACAGCCUGGCACUUCAUGUUUACCGACUGUAAUUUCUACUGAUUCAUCCCAUAGCCAUUUCCAGUCACAAGCAAUGCCUUUCUAAGACUUGCCCAUCUAGCUUUCUACCAGUUUUGAACAGUUCCAGAUGUGUAGUGGCUUCUGUUUAUUGUCAACUUGAAAGGACCUAGAACAACAUAGGAAAUGAGCCUCUGGCUAUGCCUGCGUGGAAUUACCUGAAUUAGGUUAUCCUCUGGAUACACCUCUGAGGGAUUCUCCUACAUUAAUUAAGAUAGAAAGACCCGCUCUCAGCUGGGUAGCAUCACAGCAUCAGCUGAAAUUCAGGGCUAAGAAAAAAACAUACUGUGUUCUGAACAGCUACAGUGUUCAUCUUCCUUUGCUUCCUGGUUGCGGAUGCAAUGUAACCAAGUGCCUCAAGCUCCUACUGACAUGACAUCUGAUCACACUGGACUGUAUCUCCUUCAACUGUGGGCUGGAACGAAUGUCCACCCCUUAAUGUCCUCCCUCCACUCUUCCAGGGUGUUUUAUCCCAACAGAGAAAGUUACUAAUACAAGCUGCAUUGUUCCAGCUCCUUAACUCUUG